CUCAGUAUCACGCGGACAAUCUGCCUAAGGUGAGGGAUAAUCUCGGGAAACUGAGCAUAAUACCUCAUAGGUCAUGGAUGCUGAAAUGCUUCAUGGUCAAAAGCUCGGGCGCGUUAGGAUGAGUCUGCGGCCUAUCAGGUCGUAGUGGGUGUAACGGACCCACUACCCAACGACGGGUACGGGCGUUGGGAGACGUCGCCCGACAGAUGGAUUCUGAGACACGCAAUCCAGCCCCUACGGGGCGCAGCAGUCGCGAAAACUUGGCAAUGGGGGAAACCCCGACCAGGGGAAUCCAAGUGCUUGCACUUUGUGUAAGCUGUUCGGUUGUCUAAAAAACAACCGAAGGAAGGGCUGGGUAAGACAGGUCCCAGCCGCCCCGGUAAUACCCGCAGCCCGAGUGGUGAUCGAUUUUAUCGAGCCUAAAGCGUCCGUAACCGGUCUAGUAAACCCUUGGAUAAAUUGGACAGCUUAACUGUCCUAAUUCCGAGGGUACUGCUAGACUUGGGACCGGGAGAGGUCAGAGGUACUCCAGGGGUAGGGGCUAAAUCCGAUAUGGUUUCGCACCAUUCGGUUAGCAUUCCUGUAAUCCUUGGGGGACCACCAGUGGCGAAGGCGUCUGACUAGAACGGAUCCGACGGUAAGGGACGAAACCCUGGGGCGCAAACCGGAUUAGAUACCCGGGUAGUCCAGGGCGUAAACGCUGCAGGCUUGGUGUUGGGGACCCUACGAGGGUACCCAGUGCCGGAGUGAAGAUGUUAAGCCAGCCGCUUGGGGAGUACGUCCGCAAGGAUGAAACUAAAG
rnacentral:rRNA from 1 species